rnacentral:lncRNA from 1 species
CUAAAGAGGUGAUAUUUGAGUGAUGAGGAGUCAGCCUUGUGAGCUGCUCGAGAAGAGUAUUCUUGCAGAGAAAAUUGAACCAUGACCUGCCUCUCCCUUCCCCUCCCACUUCAGCCAUGUGAUCAAUUUCCCAAGUGCCUCUUCCAUCUUGAAGGGUGUGUCUACUCUUGUCUCUCCUAGUUGGCCUGAUUCCACCAAUGAAGAAAGCUCUGGCAUUAGCAGAUGUCAGUAAAGACUAUCAGAGAUUGAUGUUAUGCGCCUUGGGAUUGAAUCUUUGAAAUUCGCCAGUCCCCUUCUUUUGGAAAUCUGGACAACAUUUAUAUUUGAGGACUGUCUGCAAUUUAAAUGUGCACAGAAUGAGACUCAGAAAGGUGGAGACUCCCAGUAAAGGAUGACAGAGGGCACAGAAGCCACCAGCAGAUUCUUUGGAAGGAAGUAACAGGAGUGGAACUUCAUUUUCCCAUGGAUUGUAAAGGGUCUUAAGAAAAAAACUAAUUGAGCUCUCCCUGAGGAAGAAGAAAUUCCAGUCUGGCAGCAGACUGGCUUCAGACUUCAGCUGCAACAUCAGCUCUUCCUUGGAUUUCCAGCCUACCUAACUACUCUGCAGAUUUUGAACUUGCCAGCCUCCACAAUCAUGCUGGGCUCCCUUCCACCUCUUCUCACUGGCCUCCUGUUUGUACCCCUGACCUCUCCGGGAUCUGGAUCCCAACACUGUCUUCUGCAAUGAAAACCCUGAUUUUCUAUAUCUGGACAAAAGACUAGGACAUAACGAGAAUUUUAGCGGAAGGAACUGAGGGAGAGAGAUUGCACAGCAGACAAGGACAAAUAAAGGGAAGGUGGAAACAAGGGU